CUUCUACCCAUCCAUGGACAAGGAGCUGAUAUCAGGCGCUAUAAAUUGCCCAAAACAUCUAGCCACGCCACACCCACAAGGGUCACCAGCAGUGAUUAACAUUAAAAAUAAACGUCAGUUUGAUUCAGCCAGUGAAAACAGAACCGGCAAAUCUGGUGCCAGCCGCCGCGGUUACACCACGUGGUUCAAAUUGAUUUUUUCCGGCGUAAAGCGUGAUUAAAGGAAACAACCCAUGGGGUCAAACUUAAACUAAGCUGUAACACGACUGUUCUUAAGAAAGUCAUACCACAAAUACCCCAACCAAACUACUUGAACUCACGAUAACUAGGAUACAAACUGGGAUUAGAUACCCCACUAUGCCUAAUCAUAAACUCUAACUUACACUACCAUCGCCUGGGAACUACGAGCAAAGCUUAAAACCCAAAGGACUUGACGGUGCCCCAUAUCCAUCUAGAGGAGCCUGUCCUAUAACCGAUACCCCGCGUUUAACCUCACCAUUUUUAGUUUUCAGCCUGUAUACUUCCGUCGCCAGCUUACCGCAUGAGCGUUAUUAGUAAGCUUAGUGUCCACCCGCCAAUACGUCAGGUCAAAGUGCAGCAAAUAAAAUGGGAAGAGAUGGGCUACACUUUCUAUUAUAGAAAAUACGAAAGACUACGUGAAAUACAAUCAGAAGGCGGAUUUAGCAGUAAGAGGAAACAGAAUAUUCCUCUUAACCAGGCACUGGGGUGUGUACACACCGCCCGUCACCCUCUUC
rnacentral:rRNA from 1 species